UACGGGGGGGUGCGAGCGUUGUCCGGAAUCACGUGGCGUAAAGGGCGCGUAGGUGGCGUCGUAAGUCUGUGGUGAAAGCCCGGAGCUCAACUCCGGGUCUGCCGCGGAUACUGCGAGGCUUGAGUGCUGUAGAGGGGGGUAGAAUGCCGGGUGUAGCGGUGGAAUGCGUAGAGAUCCGGCAGAAGACCGGUGGCGAAGGCGGCCCCCUGGGCAGUAACUGACACUGAGGCGCGACAGCGUGGGGAGCAAACAGG
rnacentral:rRNA from 1 species